rnacentral:rRNA from 1 species
AAUGAACGCUGGCGGCAUGCCUUACACAUGCAAGUCGAACGGCAGCACGGGGGCAACCCUGGUGGCGAGUGGCGAACGGGUGAGUAAUGCAUCGGAACGUGCCCAGUAGUGGGGGAUAACCCGGCGAAAGCCGGGCUAAUACCGCAUACGACCUACGGGUGAAAGCGGGGGACCGUAAGGCCUCGCGCUAUUGGAGCGGCCGAUGUCUGAUUAGCUAGUUGGCGGGGUAAAGGCCCACCAAGGCGACGAUCAGUAGCUGGUCUGAGAGGACGACCAGCCACACUGGGACUGAGACACGGCCCAGACUCCUACGGGAGGCAGCAGUGGGGAAUUUUGGACAAUGGGCGCAAGCCUGAUCCAGCCAUGCCGCGUGCGGGAAGAAGGCCUUCGGGUUGUAAACCGCUUUUGGCAGGAACGAAACGGCGCAAGCUAAUACCUUGCGCUAAUGACGGUACCUGCAGAAUAAGCACCGGCUAACUACGUACCAGCCGCCGCGGUAAAAC